rnacentral:rRNA from 1 species
GGACAAAGUGACAGGUGGUGCAUGGUUGUCGUCAGCUCGUGUCGUGAGAUGUUGGGUUAAGUCCCGCAACGAGCGCAACCCUUAAGCUUAGUUGCCAUCAUUAAGUUGGGCACUCUAGGUUGACUGCCGGUGACAAACCGGAGGAAGGUGGGGAUGACGUCAAAUCAUCAUGGCCCUUAUGAUUUGGGCUACACACGUGCUACAAUGGACAAUACAAAGGGCAGCUAAACCGCGAGGUCAUGCAAAUCCCAUAAAGUUGUUCUCAGUUCGGAUUGUAGUCUGCAACUCGACUACAUGAAGCUGGAAUCGCUAGUAAUCGUAGAUCAGCAUGCUACGGUGAAUACGUUCCCGGGUCUUGUACACACCGCCCGUCACCC